UGCUGCUUGUUCUCUGUCUGGUUUUCCAGGGCUCACUCAGGUCCACACUACCACCACCCAACAGCUAUGGUUUGUUCGAGGAGACUGACCACACAUCCAGGUUGAAAAUGUUCUCUUUACCAUUUGGUGAACAGUUGGAAGUCAGUUCAGUGUACAACCUUUGUGAGGAGCUGGUGUGCUGAUGUGAUGGUGGUGUGAGGUCUCCUGCUGUAGAAUAAUGAUACUUUCAGGAUGACCACUGUAACUGAGGAUCACGCCUGUGUACCGCAUGACAACUUUGUGCCCUCACACAUUUUGAAAAUCAUUAAAGAGGAACUCAAGUUACUGUUUGUCUGAGGAUGUCUGGCACAGCUAGAAAGGGCCAGUUUUGCCAAGGCUGUAUCCAUGUGCUUCCAAUGAGAGCUCUUCUGUGUAAGGUUUACUACUUCUGUGAAAAAUGAGAUAGCCUACUGUCUUCAUAUGGGAGAUGUUUGACCAUGUCUAGGAAACAGUCUUGGAGAAUCUACUGGAAUCCAGAGGUAGAGGCUGGGGCACUGAUGCACUGCCUGCAGUGCACAGGAUGGGUUAUGUGAGUCAAAGUGCUCACAGUGCUGAUACUGAGAAAUCUCUGGAGAAUGCAAGAACGGCAAUAAAACUGCCUUAUGUAAGAUCA
rnacentral:lncRNA from 1 species